GUGCUACAGCAGCACAUACACUACUACAACUGGAGCGAUACAGAGAAAAUUGGCAUGGCCUCUGUGCAAGCAUCACACACAAAUUCAUGAAAUGUUCCAUGUUUUU